GGGCGUAAAGCGUCCGCAGGUGGCAGUUCAAGUCUGCUGUCAAAGACCGGGGCUCAACCUGGGACACCACCCGAUACUGCUCUAGCUAGAGUCCGGUAGGGGAGCGUGGAAUUCCUGGUGUAGCGGUGAAAUGCGCAGAUAUCAGGAGGAACACCAGCGGCGAAGGCGGCGCUCUGGGCCCGGAACUGACGCUGAGGAGCGAAAGCGUGGGUAGCAAACAGGAUUAGAUACCCUGGUAGUCCACGCCGUAAACGUUGGGCACUAGGUGUGGGGUCUAUUCAACGGACUCCGUGCCGUAGCUAACGCAUUAAGUGCCCCGCCUGGGGAGUACGGCCGCAAGGCUAAAACUCAAAGGAAUUGACGGGGGCCCGCACAAGCAGCGGAGCACGUUGCUUAAUUC
rnacentral:rRNA from 1 species